AGAAAAUUAUACAAAUUCUAGGUUUAGAAAUAUAAAAUUAAAAGAGUUAGCCCCAAAAGCCACAAACUCAGGGCUAAGCCCUGCCGCCAGGAAUAACAGGCCAUAAAGAUAAAGAAAAGGAAUGCAGGAUCCAGCUCAGGCUAUCGAGGACUGACCCAUAAACCAUCCAAAGACGUCCCCCCAGCUUACUCAGAGUCAUACUUUAACCAGAUGUCCUCCAGACCCUGAUAAGCCCCUACUUGUGCUUUUCAGCCAUUGUGUCCUGCAGAGAGCACUCCAAGAAACCGGACAGCCCAAGCCUAACCAGAGGUGUUUCAAAUACAAAUGCUCCAUCAGUUUUGACAAACGUUUAAAAAUAAUGAGGACCUGAAGACCCUACCCUUCUCCUGAUUUAGUAGCUCUGUUCCAGGAACCAGGGGGCCAUAAAACCUUCUGGCGUCCCCUUAUCUCCUGGAGCCAUAAAACAAUCUUGUAACUUGUGGUACAUUCCCCUUUGACAUCCCCCAUCCCCUGGUGCUCACAGCCUCUGCCUUUAAAUACUCUUUUUCCCAGCCUCUCGGGGUCGACACCUCUGUCUCCUGCGUGGGAUAUGUGUCGGCCCGGAGAUCUCUGUAAUAGGUCUCCGUAAUAAACCUCGCCUUUGCUUAUUACAUCCAAAAUGGUCUCUCUGUGUCUGGGGUCCGCGAUUUCCCAAGACUUGAGUAAGGGUCUCUCUGCGUGGGAUCUUUCAUAUUUAUGGGGGCUCGUCCGGGAUCUGCGCGACUACCCCAGACUCCGAAGACCCCUUGGAGGUGAGUUGGAUGUUUGUCUGAGUGUUUCUGUGUGAGCGGCGCCGCAAUUGUCAGUCUGUGUCUGUCUCUGUUUUGGUUCCGCCGUGUGUGUAUAUAUGUGUGUCUUAGUACUGGUCAGUGUUAAGAGGGCAGAUGGGUAUUCCUGCCCUGUGUUAAGAGGGCAGAUGGGUGUUCCUGCCUUGUGCUAAGAGGGUGGAUGUGUAUUCCUGCCCUGUGCUAGGAGGGUGGAUGUGUAUUCCUGCCCUGUAGGAGAGUGGAUGUGUAUCCCCACUCAUGCAGCUGCCUUUGUGGUCCGUGAGGACCCCCUGGCUGCGGAAGGGGGGACGCCCCGGGCCCGCAAGGCUGCAGCCCCUGGAAGACGUUCCACGGGCGGAGAACAGUCGGGAGAGCCCGACUAUGGACAGUCAGGAGGACCUGACUCUGGUUUUCUGGAACAAAGGAGAUGGAAUGCUCCUUUUACCUAGGCGGGAGUGGACGAGGAAUCCCACUCCGUCAGAGGUCGAGUUCGGCUGCCUAUUUAAAUAUAGGCACGGACAAGUGUGCUUGGUCGUUAGGACAAGAGGACACUCUGGAAUCCUGUUGGGAGGUGGAAUCAGAUGGUCCAUCUCAUCCCAAAAGCAGCUAAGGUUAAGCUGCAGUUUGGGCCACGUACUGAAGGUACCAGGCAUCUGUGAAAGUUGGUUAUAAGAUGCUUUGUCUUGAUAUUGUUUGUCUGGCUUGUUUUCUGUGGUAUUGUCGAGUGUCUUUUUGGCUUUUGUUUCGUUUUUGAAUUUUGGACUGACGACUGUGUUCGAAUUUGGACUGACGACUGUGUUUAAAAUCUUGGACUGACGACUGUGUUUGAAAUCAUGAAACUGUUUGCUUUGUUCGUCAUAGAGUUUUACUUGGUCCUCUUGGUGCUUAAGUUAAGAGUUAAAAAUAAUUUGCUUGAGAGAAAUUGUUUUCUGCCAGGGAGUUUUGUCUUUCUCUCUUGAGCCUCCUCCCCAAGGAGAGAGGCCCCUCCCUUUACUCCCCUUGAUCAGCCUAGCUGCUGUUAACAGUUGUGUAAACAGACAUUAACAAAAACCUUGAGGACAAAACCUCUCGUAAAUAAAAAAGUUCCCCAGAUUAGGCCUCCGGUAUGAAACAAGUAUAGUGAGUAAGAAACUUAAUUUUAUAGACCCCGCUCUAGUGGCGGUGUGUUGGUUGAUAGCCAACGUUAAUUUUUUAAAACAUAGUGUUUUAUCUGUGCUUGUGCUCGCAACACACAGUAGGGGGGAGCGAAACUAGCUGUGGAGCUGCUACAGCGAGCAUGGAGACUUCUCAAGUCUCACCCAAUUUUUCUGGCUCUUCAGGAGCUGUUUAAAAAGAAAAGGCUUAAGGUAAAAAGAAACACUAUAGAGAGAUUUCUUAGUGAAUUACUACACCUUGGUUCGCCAUCUCUGGGAAUCUCACAGUGGACAGCUGAGAUAAGCUAGAAAAGGAUUUAAAUUUUGCUUGAGAGCAAGGAAUCUUAAAGGCGGAGUUUCAGCCGGUUUGACACUUAGUGCGUAGCUGCCUAAAAGAUCAGAAAUGCUGUCAACAGGCUAUAAAAAAGGGACAGGCUGUGUUAAAAAUGCUACAUAAAGAAUAAUCUAAAAAGGCUGCGAGUGAGGUGGGAGAGGACUCUAAGAAAAACAAGAACAAGAAAGGAAUUUCUGCUUUUAGUGACCAGACCUUCAACUCUUGCUCACAGAAAGAGGGUGCUCAUUAAGAGAAGUUCUUUAAGGAGCCUGCCUUAUCUGCUGGCCCUAUUCCAAGAGAGGAGCCAGUCUCCAGCAUUAAAUUACUUUUCUCACUGGUCAUCAUUAGCAUGGAGAAUGCCUUUGAUCCUAUCCCCACAGCAGCCAGUUCCUGCCCCUGUGGUAGAAAUGUCCCAGGUUGGGGGGCAGAGAAGCCCCUAAAAUAGUUUCAAAGAAUCUACAACAAACUGUAAAGAACUUUGUUUUGUUUUGCCAGUUUGAAUUUAGAAUUCAGGCUUUGGCUGUGGCCAAGGUCAGGAUUAAUGUUUUCUUUUCCAUGGGCCUUUAGCCCACUGAGAAAGUUUGGUAAAGGGCUGCUACUGAGGUCCUGAAAGCCCCAGGUGAACUGGUUACAAUUCUUUUGUCAGCUGCUUAGUAUCUAACACUCAGGUUCUAACCGUCUCUCCAUCCUUUUGUUAUUAGUUCUUACUGGAAGCCUAGUGUCAUUUAGAGGAUGGGUCUCUUGAGUGAUAAAGCCACUGAGCUGGCACUAAAGGAAGGUACUCCUUAAGGGAAAAUCUAAGUCCAGAGAGACAACCGGUAACAGAUAGACUGCCCCUCUGCUCACUUUUCUGUUUCACAGACACAAGGUCUUUUUGUCCCAAGAAAGCCUCCUGGCUUAGCUGUGUGACUAAAUGCUAUUUGCCCUCUUCAGUGGACCUCUAUUCUCAAGAUUCCCUUGUUUUCUCACCAUCCCAUUUGAGAUGCUUGUUAGUAACUGUUACAGGUCUUCUUUACCACCGAGGAAAGACGGAAUCCUACUAGAGGCCAGAAAAAGUGUUCCAGAGAUGGAUAGAAGGCCCUCACUUCUGCCUGCUCUCUUCAGACGCCUAAAGGACUUAAACUGUGAUAGAGUGGCUGAUAGAGUGUCCAAAGAUGGGACCACUGGUCAGCUGCCAUGGACUAGAUUCUCCACCGGUUGGGGACAAUCUGGUCACCUUGCUGCCCAAUCCGGACCUGGAGCCACCACAGCACGAGUGUCAAACACUGACAGAAGCACAUGGGUGGAGGAAAGACCUCUGCGACUGGCUGAUUGACCCCUGCUGAAAGCCGAGGACCUUGUCCACAGACAGGAACAGUUCUCUUCAUGAAUGAAGGUCAGAGACAAGUGGGUGCUGCCAUGGUGGACAACACAAUGUCAUCUAGAAUGGCUGAACCUCUACCCCCCCAGCACAUCAGCGCCACAGAUGUCUUUGCCAUCUCUUAGAUGCCCUGAUGAAGCCAACAACUGUGAGUACUAUUCAUUGCCCAAGAAAACAGGAGGGAAGAGAUUCAGUGACAUGGGGCAGUGACAAAACAGAUAAAGUGGCUCGGGAAAUGGCUAUACAGGAGCCUAUCCUGGUUACAGGCCUACAAGAGACAGCCACUGAGAACUAGGAUUAGACUAAGGGAUGGCCUCACUUAGAAAAGGCCCAAAUUGCUUAAAAGAUAAAGGACAAUGGCACACUUGAGGGGAAGCUAUACUCCCCAGAGAACAAAGAAAAGACUCACUUUGCCAAAUAAAAAAAUAGACUCAUUUAAGAGAUAAGAAGUUUGUCCAAAUAGUUAAAAUAUAUAUAAUAGACUUUAAGAUUUUAGCCAAGAGAGACAAUAAAAAAGUAUAAAAUACGUCAAUAAAUAAAUGCUUAACAAACAAACAAGACAAAGAGACCUAGAGAGUUUAAUGAAAAGUCGAAGUAAACUUCACUGAGAUAAAAACCAGAAAAAUAUAAUCUCCUAGUGCUUGUAGAUACUUUUUCAGAAAUAGACAGAAGCUUUCCUCACCAAACGAGAGACGGCCUCUGCAAUCAUCAAGAAGAUACUGAAAGAAAUCUUCCCCAGGUCUGGAAUGCCCAAGGUAAUCUGGUCAGACAACGGUCCUACUUUCGUUGCCAAGGUAAGCCAGGGUGUGGCCAAAUAUUUAGAGGUCGAUUGGAAAUUACAUUAUAUUUACAGACCUCAAAGUUCAAGACAGGUAGAGUAAAUAAACAGAACUCUAAAAGAGACCCUAAACAAAUUGACCAUGGAGACUGGCACAGACUGGGUGACACUCCUUCCCUCUUGCUCUCUUCAGAGCAAGAAAUACCCCUUCCAGAUUCAGCCUUACCCACUUUGAGAUCUUAUAUGGGGCCUCAGCUCCCCUGACUGUAUUAGAUGAUGUUACUGAACCAACAUGUCAUAGUAAUAAUGAUUUGUGUGCCAGGCUAAAAGACCUACAGGUGAUACAGAAAGAAAUCUGCUCACAGCUGACAGCAGCCUAUGCCCCGGAGACCCCUGAGACAUCCCAUCAGUUCCAGGUCGGAAGCAGCUACACUGAGCCCAGACACUCGAUCCUCGCUGGAAAGGACCAUACCUGGUGCUGCUGACCACCCUGACAGCCGUCAAUUCUCAGCCCUCACCAGCCGUGUACUAGCUGUUAGGGCUGAGAGCUGGGACCUAGAGAGAAAUUCAGUCAUGUUUGUCCUGGGUUCCAUCGAGAUAGGUGUGGGGAUAGGCUUGAUUUCUAUUACAAAUAAUGUAACAUUACAUAUGUUAGUACUCCUAACACUUCUUGGGACUGUGCCUCAGGGAUCACAACCUAUAUAAGUUUAGAAGUUCUGAAAGACAGUCAUGACCUUGGUGUAUAGGUUCAGAUAGUGUCCAGAUUGGAAUCCUGAUGCUAAAGACUUAGUAAGAGACAAAAAAAAGGAGUUGAGAAUUACUUAGGGCUAGGGCUAUCUAGGUGCUACAAGGGCAGCACAAGGACAUCUGCUGUUGCCCUACAAUACAAGGCUUAUAGAGAAUUCAGAACUGCCAUUGACUCAGAUAUAAAAAGAGUAAAAGACUUUUUAGCUGACCUCCAAGAAUACCUAACUUCCCUCUCAGAGGUAGUCCUUCAAAAUAAGAAAAGAUCAGACCUGAUAUUCCUUAAAGAAGGAAUCUGUGUGCUACACUGAAAGAAAAAUGUUGCUUCUAUACAGACCAUUCAGGAGUAAUUAAAGACUCCAUAAAUAAACUUAAAAAAAGGUUAGACAAAAGACAGACAGACAGAAAAACACAUCAGAGAUAGUUCGAGAGCUAGUUUAGUAGAUCUCCCUGGAUGACUACCCUACUCUCUGCUACAGCUGGGCCAUUAUUAAUAAUUUUCUUGGUUUUAGUUUUUGGCUCCUGCGUGACAAACAGGUUAAUUGCUUUUGUUAAAAAUUGAGUGGGUGCUGUGCGGUUGAUGGUCCUGAGACAACAGUACCAGUCAGUUAGGACAACUGGUGAGACCAAAUAAGACUUGAUAUCAAAAUUCUAAGAUUAGAAUUAUUUAGUAGGAGAAGACGGGAAUGAAAAGAAAAUUAUACAAAUUCUAGGUUUAGAAAUAUAAAAUUAAAAGAGUUAGCCCCAAAAGCCACAAACUCAGGGCUAAGCCCUGCCGCCAGGAAUAACAGGCCAUAAAGAUAAAGAAAAGGAAUGCAGGAUCCAGCUCAGGCUAUCGAGGACUGACCCAUAAACCAUCCAAAGACGUCCCCCCAGCUUACUCAGAGUCAUACUUUAACCAGAUGUCCUCCAGACCCUGAUAAGCCCCUACUUGUGCUUUUCAGCCAUUGUGUCCUGCAGAGAGCACUCCAAGAAACCGGACAGCCCAAGCCUAACCAGAGGUGUUUCAAAUACAAAUGCUCCAUCAGUUUUGACAAACGUUUAAAAAUAAUGAGGACCUGAAGACCCUACCCUUCUCCUGAUUUAGUAGCUCUGUUCCAGGAACCAGGGGGCCAUAAAACCUUCUGGCGUCCCCUUAUCUCCUGGAGCCAUAAAACAAUCUUGUAACUUGUGGUACAUUCCCCUUUGACAUCCCCCAUCCCCUGGUGCUCACAGCCUCUGCCUUUAAAUACUCUUUUUCCCAGCCUCUCGGGGUCGACACCUCUGUCUCCUGCGUGGGAUAUGUGUCGGCCCGGAGAUCUCUGUAAUAGGUCUCCGUAAUAAACCUCGCCUUUGCUUAUUACAUCCAAAA